rnacentral:lncRNA from 1 species
UUUUUUACAGCGUCUUACUGGGAGUCGACGACCCGCCGCCUUUGAAAACCUCCCCAAAGAAGCGUGGGUUCCUGUUCAUCAAGUGCCUGGGGCCUGAGGGUCUCAGCAGCUCCUCCUGCAUGAGAGGUGGAAGUACCACCAAAAUCCUGCUGGAAACCCUGUUACUGGCAGCCCAUAAGACGGUGGAGCAGGGCAUUGCAGCAUCUCCAAGAUGCCUUCUGGAAAUCCUGCGGACAUUUGAGCGGGCUCAUAAGGUGACCUACAGUCAAAGCUCCAAGAUCACCCUGAUGAAGCAAGUCAGCACCAGGUACCCAGAGGUGCAGUGGGAGGGGGCGCCCAAGGGCAGAGGAGACUGAGAAGUUUAACAUUGGCGGGAACAAUGGGUCUCUGCACUGGCUUCUCUGUUGACCCCUGUGUUCUUCUGUAUGCAUCUCUGGCUUCUUUUUCAUGGUGACCUCUUAUGUCCUGACCUCUGACUGGUCCUCAGCCUGGAGAAGAGAGGCCGAGAGCACUUGGUUAGCUGGCAGAACCUGAGCCUCAUUGCCAUCAUGGAUGGGGUGGAGUGCAUCCAUACCUUUGGUGCUGGUGGGACCCCAGUCCACACAUUUUUCCUCACCCCACCUGACCCAGCCAACUAGUCUACUAUCCAAACCCUGCCAACUAUUGGAGAGACCUAAAUGUCGGUUCUGCCCUACUGAAUAGGCAUUUCAGUCACAUGCUUCUUCCUUUGGGUCCCAACUCCGUCCUCCAUCCAGCUAUGGUGUCUCACAUGGGUUACCCCUCACCUCACAUCCACUUUCUGUUUCCCUCCCAGCCCCACUGGCAGCCUCCAAAGCCUGGAACUUUCCUUUCCUACAAGGCCCAUCAUUCCCUUUCCCUGUCUUUAAACUUCCCAGAUUUCCGAGACAUCUGUGGCUUUCUCAUUGGGGAUCACAGUGACAUGUUUAACCAGAAGGAUGAGCUCACCAAUCAGGGUCCACAGUUCACCUUCUCCCAGGAAAACUUCCUGACUUCCAUCCUGCCCUCCCUCAUGGAAACUGACACUGUUAUCUUCAUUUUCACCCUGGAUGGUGAGAGGGAAGAUGGGAAGGGGUGGUGUGGGGAGCCGGAAGCAGUAGAGCCACUCAGAAAAGCUGCCAUUUUUCUGGGUCUUGGGACAGGGGGUCAGAGGGAGGCACAGGUGAGAGUAUUGAUCCAGGGUGGCAGGAAGGACAUCUGCCCAGCCCACCUUUCCACUCCACCUGUCCCUCAGAUAACCUUGUGGAAGUGCAGACACUGGUGGAGCAGGUGAAAGAGAAGGCCAGCAAUAUCCAGGCCCUGGCGCACAGCACUGUGGGGCAGUCCCUGCCGGUGAGGGUCCAGCCUUGAAAGGGGCCUGGGUGGCAGUCACAGGCUGGCCUGCCUGCACAUGUCGCUCUGGGUCCUGUUUCUCUUCGGGCCCCUCUGAAGAAGCUCUUUCCCGCCACUGCUUUUCUUCGAGUACGAAGGGAACUUCGUCCAGGUAUGGAGGGUGAGAGAGUAAUAUUUGCAGUGAGGGGCUAAGAGUGGGGGAGACCUCAGAAAUUAGAAAACCCAAUGCUGGAGGGGAGAAAGCUUGAAGGUUUGUCUGCCCCCCACCAAGCCAGUAGAUUCUUGAGUUAGCGAGU